GCACUGAUGAAGAGUCCACAAUAGGACAGAACGGUCGUCCAGUAC
rnacentral:hammerhead_ribozyme from 1 species